rnacentral:rRNA from 1 species
UUUAUGGAGAGUUUGAUCCUGGCUCAGGAUGAACGCUGGCGGCGUGCCUAAUACAUGCAAGUCGAGCGAACGGACGAGAAGCUUGCUUCUCUGAUGUUAGCGGCGGACGGGUGAGUAACACGUGGAUAACCUACCUAUAAGACUGGGAUAACUUCGGGAAACCGGAGCUAAUACCGGAUAAUAUUUUGAACCGCAUGAUUCAAAAGUGAAAGACGGUCUUGCUGUCACUUAUAGAUGGAUCCGCGCUGCAUUAGCUAGUUGGUAAGGUAACGGCUUACCAAGGCAACGAUGCAUAGCCGACCUGAGAGGGUGAUCGGCCACACUGGAACUGAGACACGGUCCAGACUCCUACGGGAGGCAGCAGUAGGGAAUCUUCCGCAAUGGGCGAAAGCCUGACGGAGCAACGCCGCGUGAGUGAUGAAGGUCUUCGGAUCGUAAAACUCUGUUAUUAGGGAAGAACAUAUGUGUAAGUAACUGUGCACAUCUUGACGGUACCUAAUCAGAAAGCCACGGCUAACUACGUGCCAGCAGCCGCGGUAAUACGUAGGUGGCAAGCGUUAUCCGGAAUUAUUGGGCGUAAAGCGCGCGUAGGCGGUUUUUUAAGUCUGAUGUGAAAGCCCACGGCUCAACCGUGGAGGGUCAUUGGAAACUGGAAAACUUGAGUGCAGAAGAGGAAAGUGGAAUUCCAUGUGUAGCGGUGAAAUGCGCAGAGAUAUGGAGGAACACCAGUGGCGAAGGCGACU